GUACCGUAGCGUAGUGGUUAACGCAUAGGCGUACAUCGCCGAGGUGGCUGGUUCGAAUCCAGCCUUACA
rnacentral:tRNA from 1 species